GGAUAUUGACGUGAAGGCGAUCUUUGGCCGGGCGGCGGAGAUCGCCUCGCUGACAGAGCGAAGUGCUUACCUGGACGAGGUUUGCGGCACCGAUGCGGCGGUGCGCGCGGAGGUUGGCGAAUUGCUUGGCGCGCUGUCGAACGCCGGCGAUUUUCUGGUCACGUCGCCGGCGCUGCGGAUGGGCGACGCGACGAGCGACGUAGUGACCGAAGGCGCGGGAGAUUGGAUCG
rnacentral:misc_RNA from 1 species